rnacentral:rRNA from 1 species
GACGGGGGGGGCAAGCGUUGUUCGGAAUUACUGGGCGUAAAGGGCUCGUAGGCGGCCAACUAAGUCAGACGUGAAAUCCCUCGGCUUAACCGGGGAACUGCGUCUGAUACUGGAUGGCUCGAGUUUGGGAGAGGGAUGCGGAAUUCCAGGUGUAGCGGUGAAAUGCGUAGAUAUCUGGAGGAACACCGGUGGCGAAGGCGGCAUCCUGGACCAACACUGACACUGAGGAGCGAAAGCCAGGGGAGCAAACGGG